rnacentral:tRNA from 1 species
CGCGGGGUGGAGCAGUCUGGUAGCUCGUCGGGCUCAUAACCCGAAGGUCGCAAGUUCGAAUUUGCCCCGCAAUCA